CUCUUCAGUUUCUGGUCCCUCUGAGUCUCGUCCCAUUUCUCCUUUGCCAAACGAAUGUCCUUGAUUCUUCACACUGGCUGCCCCUUCUCACGUUCCUCUGAUGCAGAGCUGGCUCUGGCUCUGUCUGGUCUUUCGGUUUCAUGGUUGGCACCAACGACCCUCACUAGGAAUGCUGUCUUUAUGUCACAUGGGCAUAGUGGACUCUACAAUGACUCUUGUCCAGGAGAGGAAAAUGGGCAGAGUCCAUCCAUGAAAUUAAGAUGGCAAUAGAAUCCCUGGCUAAGACAGCAUCAGAACCACCCAGUGACCUGUGGAGAGGCAGCUUACUUCAGGAGUGGCAGUGGGGACACUCUUUGUGGCAGUUAUGUGGAUAGUUCCUGUUUGCUGGACACUGAACCUGUGCGCAACUGCAGAUGAAGCAACAGAAAAGUGGGAGAAGAUGCUAAAGCCAGGUGAGCCAUCUGUUCUUCUCGGUCUUGAAAGUCUCUGAUAAAAGCUAUUUUGGAAUGAGGGAGAAGAUGAUGGUUCUCGAUUGUUAUGGAAACCAGCAAACAGAUUUGGCCACGGCCGGAAGCCACACCCCUAAAGACCACAAUAGCUUUUGUUAUGAAACUUGGGGACUUUACUUCGUUUCCCCUAUUAUCUAUUUUCAAAGUUGUCAACAGUAACAAAUUUCUUAGUACCUGUGGCCAUUUCUGUCCAAGUUCUGGGACAACCCUGGGCCCCACCACUUGAACCUGCACUGUGGUGUGUAGUUAUAAGCUCUCUCUGAGCCUACACACCUCUAUAGGAAUCCCAAGGCAUGGGGCAAUGACUGCAUUCCAUUGUGUGACUUCCAUCGUUGCUCCAUUUAUAGGGGGAUAAAAAUAUCCAACAUGUUUAUUUCAAAGAGAAUACAAUCAUUUACCUUUGCAACCUGUACAUGGAAUAUUUGCUGUGGAGGACAAAUAUGUUUCCUUUUAAGUGUCAAUUCCAACUGAACGAUGUUGGCCUUGCCUCUGUCAAGAAGGGUCUGAGACUGGGUUCCAACUCAGUGGUUAGGAAUGAGGCAGAAGUGGCUUCAAAGUUCUGUGUAUUUGCUUCCUUGGUUUGGGACAUUACCUCAUCAAGCUCUGUAAUGGCUUUUGGAGGUUUAGACGUCCAAAAUUAGCUUAUUGGAUGUUACUUUACUGGUACUGAUUCAUGGAAGACAAACUUCUUAUGUUCAAGGCUAAAAAUUAUACCUUGAUUCUUUUAAAACAUCUCUCUCUCUCUUUCUCUCACUCUGCCUCUCUCUCUCUCUCUCUCUCUCUCUCCCUCUUACUGACAGAAAUGAGGUGUGUUCAUCGUUAAACGUUUGGCAAAUCUUAGGGAAGUAUCUACAAUAAGAUAAGAGCAGUCCCCCAUCUCAUCACGCCUACAUAAAUUAACAUGGUGG